rnacentral:rRNA from 1 species
AUACGGAAGGUCCGGGCGUUAUCCGGAUUUAUUGGGUUUAAAGGGAGCGCAGGCGGAGAUGCAAGCGUGACGUCAAAUUUCGGGGCUCAACCCCGUCUCGCGUCGCGAACUGCGUCCCUUGGUUGCGGGAAGGGAGGCGGAACUCGUGGUGUAGCGGUGAAAUGCAUAGAUAUCACGAAGAACUCCGAUCGCGAAGGCAGCCUUCCGGCCCGUCAACGACGCUCAUGCUCGAAGGUGCGGGUAUCAAACAGGAGUAGAUACCCUGGUAGUCCGCACAGUAAACGAUGGACACCCGCGGUUUGGCCUGUAUGGCUGAGCCGCCAAGCGAAAGCGUUAAGUGUCCCACCUGGGGAGUACGCCGGCAACGGUGAAACUCAAAGGAAUUGACGGGG